CUUGGUCAUUUAGAGGAAGUAAAAGUCGUAACAAGGUUUCCGUAGGUGAACCUGCGGAAGGAUCAUUAAUUAUCGGUAGUUUACUACCGUUUGAAGGGGGUGGAAAGUUUCCAGGUCUUCCUGGGGGUGAGUACAUCCUAUUCUUAACCCUUGACUUUUUGCGCACUCAUGUUUCCUCGGCGGGCUUGCCUGCCGAAUGGACAAACCAAUAACCUAUUUAAUAUUUAAUCAGCGUCUGAAUUAUUUUAAUAAUUACAACUUUCAACAACGGAUCUCUUGGUUCUGGCAUCGAUGAAGAACGCAGCGAAAUGCGAUAAGUAGUGUGAAUUGCAGAAUUCAGUGAAUCAUCGAAUCUUUGAACGCACAUUGCGCCCCUUGGUAUUCCAUGGGGCAUGCCUGUUCGAGCGUCAUUUGUACUCUCAAGCCUUGCUUGGUGUUGGGUGUUUGUCUCUGCUCUGCUUAGACUCGCCUUAAAUAUAUUGGCAGCCGGUAUACUGGUUUGAAGCGCAGCACAUUUGCAAUUCAAGCCUGCUAUUAUUGGUAUCCACAAAGAAUAUCAACACUUUUGACCUCGGAUCAGGUAGGGAUACCCGCUGAACUUAAGCAUAUCAAUAAGCGGAGGAAAAGAAACCAACAGGGAUUGCCCUAGUAACGGCGAGUGAAGCGGCAACAGCUCAAAUUUGAAAUCUGGCUCUUUUAGGGUCCGAGUUGUAAUUUGCAGAGGGCGCUUUGGCGUUGGCAGCGGUCCAAGUUCUUUGGAACAGGACGUCACAGAGGGUGAGAAUCCCGUACGUGGUCGCUAUCCUUCGCCGUGUAAAGCCCCUUCGACGAGUCGAGUUGUUUGGGAAU
rnacentral:sRNA from 1 species